CCUACGGGGUGCAGCAGUGAGGAAUAUUGGUCAAUGGGCGGAAGCCUGAACCAGCCAAGUAGCGUGCAGGAUGACGGCCCUACGGGUUGUAAACUGCUUUUAUACGGGAAUAACGCGCCUUACGUGUAGGGCUUUGCAUGUACCGUAUGAAUAAGGACCGGCUAAUUCCGUGCCAGCAGCCGCGGUAAUACGGAAGGUCCGGGCGUUAUCCGGAUUUAUUGGGGUUAAAGGGAGCGUAGGCCGCAUGUCAAGCGUGCUGUGAAAUGUCCGGGCUCAACCCGGGCCGUGCAGCGCGAACUGGGGUGCUUGAGUCCGCGGAAAGCAGGCGGAAUUCGUCGUGUAGCGGUGAAAUGCUUAGAUAUGACGAAGAACCCCGAUUGCGAAGGCAGCUUGCUGCAGCGGAACUGACGCUGAUGCUCGAAAGCGCGGGUAUCGAACAGGAUUAGAUACCCCGGUAGUC
rnacentral:rRNA from 1 species